GGAUCGACGGGUCGGUCGCGCCUCUGGUGUGUACUGGCCCUGUCGGUUUCUCCCUUCUGACGAACCACGAUGUCAUUAAUUUGGUGUCGUGGGAAAUCAGGACUGUUACUUUGAAAAAAUUAGAGUGUUUAAAGCAGGCAUUCGCUUGAAUACAUUAGCAUGGAAUAAUGAAAUAGGACGUUUGAUCUUAUUUUGUUGGUUUCUAAGAUCGACGUA
rnacentral:ncRNA from 4 species